rnacentral:sRNA from 1 species
CGAGGCAGUGCGGCCGUCACUACCACUUCUAGAAUGUUCCGUCAUCCCAGAAUGGAAACCCUGUGCCCACCGACACUCGUGCCCCGCUUUCUGCGGCCUCCGUGCCUGGGUUCUGUGGCCCAGCCUGAUGUUCCCGGGGCUCUCUGUGUCGUGUGUGCUGGGGUUUCACUCCUCAUGCUGGGCGGUGCUCCCUAGUUGGCCUGGGCUGCUGCGUGGUGACUGUGCCCUCUGCACCCUCCAUGCCUGCCACUCCCCUGUUGCUCGGGUGCUGAGCGCCUGGUUCAGGCCGAGGAUGCAGCCUCCGCAGCAGGGUGUACUGUGCUAGGUUGUUCUGUGUGUGUGUGUACGCGGCCACGGGGUUCAUUCCUGGCUGUGGGGCUGCUGGGCCCGGGCAGGGCCUCCUCCGUCUGUGUAUCUUGGUGGGUUUGGGCCUGCCACCACACUGACACCUCCUCCGUGUCACCUCCCACAGAUCUGGGCGGACCCCGGCAAAUACGCCCUGAUGGGAGCUGCUGCCCAGCUGGGUAUGUUCCAGCUCUUGCCCGAUGGGUGGGGAGCUCCACGGGGUCUGGAGGGGGCCAUGGCUGUCCUUGCGGGGCUGGGGUCUGGGAGCAGGUGGAUGGGAUGGGUGCUGCAGAGAAGGCAGUGGCCACGUGACCCUGAGCCAGGAGGGUGGACGUGCUGGGGUUCAUGAUGGCUCCCGCAGGCGGGAUUGUGCGGAUGACACUGAGCCUGACGGUCAUCAUGAUGGAGGCCACCAGCAACGUGACCUACGGCUUCCCCAUCAUGCUGGUGCUCAUGACCGCCAAGAUCGUGGGCGACGUCUUCAUUGAGGGCCUGUACGACAUGCACAUUCAGCUGCAGAGUGUGCCCUUCCUGCACUGGGAGGCCCCGGUCACCUCACACUCACUCACUGCCAGGGAGGUGAUGAGCACACCGGUGACCUGCCUGAGGCGGCGUGAGAAGGUCGGCGUCAUUGUGGACGUGCUGAGCGACACGGCGUCCAAUCACAACGGCUUCCCCGUGGUGGAGCAUGCUGAUGACACCCAGCCUGCCCGGCUCCAGGGCCUGAUCCUGCGCUCCCAGCUCAUCGUUCUCCUAAAGCACAAGGUGUUUGUGGAGCGGUCCAACAUGGGCCUGGUGCAGCGGCGCCUGAGGCUGAAGGACUUCCGUGACGCCUACCCGCGCUUCCCACCCAUCCAGUCCAUCCACGUGUCCCAGGACGAGCGGGAGUGCACCAUGGACCUCUCUGAGUUCAUGAACCCCUCCCCCUACACGGUGCCCCAGGAGGCAUCGCUCCCACGGGUGUUCAAGCUGUUCCGGGCCCUGGGCCUGCGGCACCUGGUGGUGGUGGACAACCGCAAUCAGGUUGUUGGGUUGGUGACCAGGAAGGACCUCGCCAGGUACCGCCUGGGAAAGGGAGGCUUGGAGGAGCUCUCGCUGGCCCAGACGUGAGGCCCAGCCCUGCCCAUGGUGGGCACUGGCGCUGGCACCCCAGCCCUUCUGCACUUCCUCCCGGAGUCACUGGUUUCUCGGCCCAAGCCAUGCUCCCCAGCAGUGGCAAUGGCGAGCACCCUGCAGCUGGGCGGGCGGCAGGCGCGGAACUGACCGUCUCGCGGGACUGACCCUGUUGUGGGCAGUGGUCUCCCCCCUUGGCGCCUCCUUGCGCAGGCCCAGCCUCCGCUCUCCUCGUCUAGGUUUCUUUACCUCCAGGGAUCAGCUGUGUGAGUGUGACCUCCCUACCGGGCUGUCGGCCUCUUGGGAGCCAGCGGCAGGGCCGGCACCUGCGUGCCUGUGCCCGUGUGCGUGAGACAGAGCCCUUGCCCCUGCUGCUGCCCCGAGGGCUGCCCUGCCCUGGAAGGGCCCCUCUGCCUCCACAACCAGUGGAGUCUUCGAGACUUGGGAGCUGCUUGGCCUCAUUUUCAGCCAUGAGCAGACGGCCUGUGGUCCCUGGGCCUGAGGCACGGACUCGUAGCACCAGGGUUUGGAGGCUGCGACCGCCCCGGAGAGCAGCUUCACAUUGGUGCCACAGAGGAGCCCCACGUGCACUCCCCGGCCUGCAUCCGGCUUGGGUACACGGGCCCAGAGGACUGGGGUGACUCACGGGCCCUGUGCUGUGAUGUUGAGAGCUGAGAAAAACCUCCAAGGCCCUGAGCCCCAUGCCCAGCCCUGCCUUGGUCCCCCAACCCCCAGAGCUUGGAGUCUGGGCCCCACACCCAGCCCUGCCUUGGUCCCUGAGCCUCAGAGUGUGGAAUGGCUGCCCUGUGGACACUGGCUGGGAAGGCAGGUCUUCCCCUAGCACAUGGGGACCCCGGCCUCGGGGGUGACCUCCCUACCCCGCCCCUGCCAGCCACCAAGCGCAGGUGCAGCAGGGGCCAGACUCCUGCCGGCCUCAGAGGACACCUGGCCCAGCACAGGCAGCUAGAAGGGCCGGCGGGCACCGGGGCCGGGAAGCCCCCACCUGACCACCUGAGGGCCCCUGGGAGGCUCCUCUGGCCUGGCUGGGCUGGGUCUGGGGCUGCCACAGGCCCCUCACGGGGCGUCAGAGGCAACUUCAGUGUCCCUGUUAGAGCAACACGGGUCCCUCCGUGCGGGGCUGGGUGCGGCCCCCUGCCGUGUAUUUCCUCCCCAGGGAGUGGGGCCUCCCCGGGAGCUGACGCCACCACCCUGCUUAGCCCUCACAGGGCCCCAAGGUGUCCGAGUGUGUUGGGUCUGAACGCGCGAAAUAAAGAAAUCCUCUC